GACGAAGGGGGCUAGCGUUGUUCGGAAUUACUGGGCGUAAAGGGCUCGUAGGUGGCCAACUAAGUCAGACGUGAAAUCCCUCGGCUUAACCGGGGAACUGCGUCUGAUACUGGAUGGCUUGAGUUCGGGAGAGGGAUGCGGAAUUCCAGGUGUAGCGGUGAAAUGCGUAGAUAUCUGGAGGAACACCGGUGGCGAAGGCGGCAUCCUGGACCGACACUGACACUGAGGAGCGAAAGCCAGGGGAGCAAACGGG
rnacentral:rRNA from 1 species